GUGCAGGUUGAUUGAGGGGGCAAGUUGCAGGGGUUGGUUGCGGGGGGCAGUUGUGGGGCCGGAUGCAGGUCAGACUCUCUUGUUUCGCACGGUGCUGCAGGUGUUGCGGGGUCCGGUUGCGGGGUCAGGCUGCAGGGUCCGGUUCCGGGGUCCGGUUGCGGGGUCCGGUUGCGGGGUCCGGGUGCGGGGUCCGGGUGCG